UAGGGAAUAUUGGUAAUCUGGGAAACCGGGAACCAGCAACGCCGCGUGCGCGAUGAAGGCCUUCGGGGUGUAAAGCGCUUUUUGAGAGGAUGAGGAAGGACAGUACUCUUAGAAUAAGCAUCGGCUAACUACGUGCCAGCAGCCGCGGUAAAAAGUAGGAGGCGAGCGUUAUCCGGAUUUACUGGGCGUAAAGCGGGGGUAGGCGGUUUGAUAAGUUGGAUGUGAAAGCUCCUGGCUUAACUGGGGGAGGUCGUUCAAAACGAUCAGACUUGAGAGUGGUAGAGGGAGGUGGAAUUCCGGAUGUAGUGGUGAAAUGCGUAGAUAUGCGGAGGAACACCAGUGGCGAAAGCGGCCUCCUGGCCCAUUUCUGACGCUCAGACACGAAAGCUAAGGUAGCAAACG
rnacentral:rRNA from 1 species